rnacentral:lncRNA from 1 species
CCCUCUUACUUCUCAAGAGCUUGAUCUGAUCAGAUACAACGCCCGGGCAUCUUGGCAGAAUGAAACACAAUGGUCCAAUUCUUCAGUGACAACAUACUCAGGCAGUUACUGAGAAAAACAACUGGAUGAGUCCACCUGCAGCCGCUUCACUUUUAGAGCAGGACAGCAUGCGCCUGGGUGUAAACGAGAACAAACAAAUCCCUUGAAGGCAGAGAGAAAAUCCAACUCAGAUUGAUUUAAUGAAAGUGUGGGGUUAUGGUCGGGAACAUGGAAAGAGGAAGAGAAGCAGCAAAAGUUUAAGAAAUCAAAUGAAAAGGAUGGUAUUGUCAAACAGCUCUACCCACAAUCCUCUGCUCUGCAGGGCUGGUACCCAAGAGACUAAAGAUGUCAAAGGCUGA